rnacentral:rRNA from 1 species
AAACUAACAAGGAUUCCCCUAGUAACGGCGAGUGAACCGGGAAGAGCUCAAAUUUGAAAUCUGGCGUCCUCAGGGCGUCCGAGUUGUAAUCUAUAGAGGCGUUUUCCGUGCCGGACCGUGUCCAAGUUCCUUGGAACAGGAUAUCAAAGAGGGUGACAAUCCCGUACUUGACACGACGACCGGUGCUCUGUGAUACGUCUUCUACGAGUCGAGUUGUUUGGGAAUGCAGCUCAAAAUGGGUGGUGAGUUCCAUCUAAAGCUAAAUAUUGGCGAGAGACCGAUAGCGAACAAGUACCGUGAGGGAAAGAUGAAAAGCACUUUGGAAAGAGAGUUAAACAGUACGUGAAAUUGUUGAAAGGGAAACGAUUGAAGUCAGUCGUGACCGAGAGGCUCAGCCGGUUCUGCCGGUGUAUUCCCCUCGGUCGGGUCAACAUCAGUUUUGUCCGGUGGAUAAGGGCGGUAGGAAGGUGGCACCCUCGGGUGUGUUAUAGCCUGCCGUCGCAUACAUCGGGUGAGACUGAGGAACGCAGCUCGCCUUUAUGGCCGGGGUUCGCCCACGUCCGAGCUAGGAUGUGACA